CACGUAGGGCGCGAGCGUUGUCCGGACUUAUUGGGCGUAAAGAGCUCGUAGGCGGCCUGUUGCGUCCGCUGUGAAAGCCCGGGGCUUAACCCCGGGUCUGCAGUGGAUACGGGCAGGCUAGAGGUAGGUAGGGGAGAAUGGAAUUCCCGGUGUAGCGGUGAAAUGCGCAGAUAUCGGGAGGAACACCGGUGGCGAAGGCGGUUCUCUGGGCCUUACCUGACGCUGAGGAGCGAAAGCGUGGGGAGCGAACAGG
rnacentral:rRNA from 1 species